rnacentral:lncRNA from 1 species
GGGCAGUCAACAGUCCCUGUAAGUUGCCGGGGUGCUACAAAUGGUAUCAGAGCCUAGCCUCUCCCAGUACGGUGUGGUUCGAGGACGAACCAAGCGGAAGCUGGUGGGCAUGUGACACCUUCGAUUCGAACCAACCCUUCUCGACCGUCGGCCCUGGCCAACCUGUCUAGACCUUCUACUCGAAUCAACUCGUCUUGACAUUCAUUUUGGACCAAUCUAUCUCAACCUUCGGCCCAAUGUCGUCCUUCGGAGGCCAACUUGUCUUGAUCUUUAGCUCGAGUUAGCAUGUCUCAUCCUUUGACC